rnacentral:rRNA from 1 species
UACGGAGGGGGCUAGCGUUGUUCGGAAUUACUGGGCGUAAAGCGCACGUAGGCGGCUUUGUAAGUUAGAGGUGAAAGCCCAGGGCUUAACCCUGGAAUUGCCUUUAAGACUGCAUCGCUAGAAUCGUGGAGAGGUGAGUGGAAUUCCGAGUGUAGAGGUGAAAUUCGUAGAUAUCGUAAGGAAGACCAGUGACGAAGGCGGGGUCUCUGGACAGUUCCUGACGCUGAGGCACGAAGGUCAGGGGGAGCAAACGGG